GGACACCGACCUGGUGACCAGGCCAUGGACCAAUGGCAGCUUCAGGGGCUGGAUGAGAUGUCUACAGACCACUGCAUGAGAAUGUGAAGGAGGCCCUGGACUGCAAGCAGCUGGGGUCACACCACCAAGCUUCACAGUUCCUUGUUCAAGAUGCCAAGAACCUGGACACCCUCCACCAUGAACGUAUUUUGGCAAGCCAGCCAGGAGGAAGAGUGGUCUCGGGACAAUGGAUCAGGACCCACCUGGCGUGACGAAUAAACCCAGAGUCUCAACAACGCAGGUGAAGAAAGGCUUACAACACCAUGGUGACCAAGUAACUCUGUACACAGACCAAG